GCGCUCACGAAGGCUCGGUCCUCUCCAUGUGGUCCCGACCUGUCCUCUGUGAGCAAGAGAAACAGGACUGGUUUGGGGGUGUCCUGUCUGAGUGGACAUGGGACACCAUGGUUUUCAGUACGACA
rnacentral:snoRNA from 1 species